rnacentral:rRNA from 1 species
AAGACAUGCAAGUCGAACGGGGGUGAGGAGCUUGCUCCUCAUCUAGUGGCGAACGGGUGAGUAAUACAUCGGAACGUACCGUGUAGUGGGGGAUAACGUAGCGAAAGUUACGCUAAUACCGCAUACGAUCCACGGAUGAAAGCAGGGGACCUUCGGGCCUUGUGCUAUACGAGCGGCCGAUGUCUGAUUAGCUAGUUGGUGGGGUAAAGGCCCACCAAGGCAACGAUCAGUAGCGGGUCUGAGAGGAUGAUCCGCCACACUGGGACUGAGACGCGGCCCAGACUCCUACGGGAGGCAGCAGUGGGGAAUUUUGGACAAUGGGGGCAACCCUGAUCCAGCCAUGCCGCGUGUCUGAAGAAGGCCUUCGGGUUGUAAAGGACUUUUGUCAGGGAGCAAAUCCUGGUGGCUAAUAUCCACCGGGGAUGAGAGUACCUGAAGAAUAAGCACCGGCUAACUACGUG